UAUACUUUAACUUGCGCCACUCUUUUAAAAACUUUCUCUCUAGAAAAAGUUGCCUCUGCCUUCUCUCUAGAAAAAUUCUUUUUUCCUCUCCCUCCAUCCAAACAAGCCGUACGCGGCUAGCAAGAUGUAGACGUCUUUUGGGUGGUGCGCGCGCCUCUUGCGGCUGCACCACCUUCAUCCACCUUUUAAGAGGGUCACGCCGCCGCGUCGAUUCUGGUGUUGUGGUGGUUUCUUCUUCUUCUAUUGGUUCUUUUCCUUGAGGGUUUCAAUGUUUUCGAUCCGGUCCCGUUUUAGUUUGUCCCGAUCUGUUCCAGAUUUGACUGCUACACCGUACACGGCUGUCUGCUACGCCGGAGACCUCUCUCUGUUGCUAUUCACGUUUUUUGGUGGUGGUGCGGUGGUUGUGGUGGUUGUAACGCCCACUUUCGUUUAAUCGUUAUUUAAUCGAGUUUAGGCAAUUAUAUUAUAAUUAUAUAAUAUAUGCGUGAUUUUGUUAUGUUUUGGUGAUUCACGAUGAAUUUAGUGAUUUGAUUGAUGACGUGAUAGUUAUGAGUUUUGGAGGAUUUGAUUAUGAUAUGAGAUUUAUUUUAUUGUUAAAUAGAAUAAAGAUUUGAAAAUAAUAUAAAAUAUUUAGUUGAGGGCUGUUUUGAUAUUUUAGAUAGUUUUGGGGGAGAAAGUGAGAUAAGAUAAGUUAUUAGAAAGAGGUAUAAAUAGGGAAGACCUAAUAUCUUUAGAAAACCAUUGUACGUGAAAACUUUUGGAAAAAGGGAGAAAAGCUUAGAGAGGAGCAAGAGACCAAGAGUGCUGCGAUUUUCUUCAAACAAGGUAAGGGUGAGACUAAUGAUUCAAUAGCAUUGAUCGUUGUAAUUCUGAUGAUUAAUUGACAAAGUUAGGAUUGAUUUAGAAAAGUUUUGGAAUUAGGUCAAAACCCUAAAAAUUGAUGAUCAAACGGUAAAACUUGUUUAGAUUGAGGUAGAAACCGUCCUAUAACCUUAGAACAUGUUUAGGAUGGAUUAUGGAAUCAAAAUUAGGCUUUGAACCAUGUUGUGUGAUGGAUUUUUGAGAAAAACCCUAGUCUGCCCGUGCUUCUGUUCACCGCUCGCCACGGCGAGUGAUGAUCCUCGCCUCGCGAGUGAUGAACUUCAUCGCUCGUCACGCGAGCCCCUUCCCUUCGCCUCGCGAGUUGUUUGGUGCAACUCGCCAUGGCGAGCAACCCUUCCUCGCCUCGCGAGCUUAGGCAGAGUGCAUGUCAUAUUUUGUGUUUCGACAUUUUUAGUUGGACCUUGGCUGCCAUAGAAUGCCUGAACAUACCUAGUAUUGAUUAGGAAUGAAUGUAGGAUCAGAGGGAACCUAGAACAACAUUAGUUUGGGAGAUGAGUGGUACUCGCCAUGGCGAGUAAGUACUCUCGCCUCGCGAGUACAACCAGGAUGAACUUGUUUAUGUGUUUAUGCGAUCUGUGUCGCACUUGUUGAUCAAGAGUGAACCCCUAACUGGUAAUGAGACCUAGUGAUGUCGUUUAAUGCAGACUGUAGAGUUGUUUAAGUUAUAUUAAUAUUAAUUGAAUAUGAACUAUUGUAUUGUAUAUUCAUGCAAGAUAAGAAGAUGUGAUAAUGAUACAAAUGAUGUGCCUUGAUAUAAUGAUAUCAUCUUGUUAUGUGACCUGUUUAUGCUGCUUCCGUUAUUUAACUAAGUGCAUAAUUAUAUGAUGAAGUUUAGCUCCAAAUUAUUGGAUGCAUGUUGAUAAGUUGAUUACGAUGUUUUGUUCAUAUGUGUCCAUGCAUAGCAUAUCAUUGAGCUUAGUCCUCACCACGAAUAUUAGGAGCUUUGUCCUCCGCACGUUUUAUAGGAGCUUUGUCCUCCGCACGAUUAAAGUAUAUUAAUACUUAUGAUGACGAUUGGUACCACAUGCAUAUAAGGAGUCUAGGAGCAUUGUCACAUUGUCAUGAUUAAGAUGCCUUGUUGAUAAUGAAUGAAUAUGUGAUUACGUGAUAAGUGUUUAUUGAUUAUGUUACGUUGUUCAUAAUGAAUUGGAUAUAUGAUUACGUGAUAACUGUUUAACAUUUAUGCAAAGUUAAUAAUGGAACGAUUAUGAUGUUAAUUUAUGAUUCGCAGUUACAUUGAUUAAUGUUAUUUUAUUAUAAAAUCUCACCCCUUCUGCUUGAAAAUGUUGCCCUUCGUAUGGGUAACUUGCAGGUGAUCGUGCUUAGUGUGCAGUUGUCGUCGUGAGUGGCCUUGCCUUCACUGUGUCGUCUAGGUCGCUCUGAUACGUAACGAGAUGGGGUUUUAUGCUAUAACAUGCUUCAUUCUCUUACGUGAACUGCCAUGAAUAUUUACUGUUUUGAUUAACUCUUUUGAGAUACUUGUUGGGCCUGCGUGCCAAAACGUUUCAUGAAUUAUGGUUAAGAUUUUCCGCUGCAAAUGUUUAAGAUAUUGGUUAAAUUAUUAUUUAACUGUUGGAUUACGUUAUAUGUGAUAUCCUGUUGUUUGAUGUUUACUCUGAUAAAUGUAUUGUUUUUAAAGAAAUUUUAAAUAUUGGGAAAACGGGGUGUUACAGUGGUGGUGUUACUGUUCACGGAUUACGAUGGGGGUGGUGGUUCAGCUGGAGUUUUGGUGUGGUGGUGGUGUGGUUCACGGUUGUGUUGUUGUUCACGGAUUUUGAGGUGGUUGCUGAGUUUGAAUGUUGAUGGGGUGGUGGUUCAUUUGGAGUUUUAUGUGGUGGUGGUGAUGAAAUGGUGGAUUGCAGGUGGUGAGAGAGGGUGCCGUCAGCGGGAACAACAGAGAUGGUGGUGCAAGGUGGUUGUUGGUAUGGCUGGUGAUGAUGUGAUGUCUCGUUGGUGAUGAUGUGGUGAUUAUGUUGUGGUGUAGUCACGUUGGUUUUGUGUGGUUGUUUGGUGUGGUACUGUUAGCAGUGGAGCGAGAUGGUUGUGUAGGUUUGUGUAGUGGUGUGUGAUGGUUUGUAGCGUUCGGAUGGGGUGAUUGUGGAUAAUUUGGACUCCGAUUUGGCAUUGAUACGAUUGAUAGACAAGAGCUGAUUAAGUGGGGGUGGUUGAUGUUGUUUAGGUAGGGAGGUGGAUGUUUUUUUGGUGGAUGGUAGUGUACUCUUGGUGUUUCUGUUGUAGGCUGCCUUUGUCUUGGGUCUGUAUCCAUCGUCGCUAGCUCUUGGUGCCUUUUGGUUGUUUUGUGUAUGGGUGCUUGAGUCUGGGUGGUUUUGAGUUGAGCCUUUUCCUUUUCUGAUGUUGGCUAGUCUUCGUGUCUUCUCCGGUUGAUCGGGGGUGAGGGGUGCCUUACUGAUUUGUUUUCAGAGUCUGGUAGGCCGGUCGCUUUUGAUUCGAGAUCGGGAGUCAGUGCUUUGAUUCAAGUCUCCUUUGGGCUAAAUUUGGUGUUUUUUCUUCGGUGGAUCAGGAGUAGAGAGGUGGAGGCCGACUAAGCGUUGGAAUAGGACAUUUUUGGAUGUGGCUCAACUAAGGUGAUGAUAAGGUGUUGGUUGAUUUAGAGGGGUGUUUUUUGGGGUGAGUAGCGAGCGAAGGGGGGUGUAUGGAUUUCGUGUUCAAUGGCUGUUUAUGAUGGAGUUUGAUUUAGGUGGUGAAGUUGGUUUUGGUGAUUGUUGUUCUUUUGGGUGUUGAAAGUAGAUCUUGGUUAGGUGAUGAUUGUUUUGUGUAUUUUAUGGUGUUUAAUUUGGAUGUUCCGCCUAUAUACGACGUCUUUAUCAUGUAACCUCUGAUACUGGUCUUUGUUCGUCUUGAACAGGGAUCAAGUUUUUAAUAUAUUUUGUCGUUUCAAAAAAAUAAAAUUAAUGUGGGGAUCAAUUUUUUUAUACACAUGUCUAUAUUUUUACUCGUAUUUAAUACUGAAAUAAUGUUUUGUACAAUUUGUGCAUCUGUCUAUAUUUUUAUUCAUAUAUCAAUACAAUGAUUUUUUUUUUUAUUUCUACGCAAGUGCGACUUGCUUCCAAAAGAAGAGCGCAACACGCUCAACUGUCUGUAUGCACGGAUAUUCUGUUAGAGCAUUUGAUUGAUCUCUUGUGACAUCUUUAUUAAAGUUAAUAUUAUUUAAUUAUUUGACGGAAUUUUUUAACCUCACUAAUAUUGUGAGUCUAGAUCCGCCGCUAUUAAUAUGUUGAUCAUUAGACAAAUAGUAAGCGUACUCAGACCUAUCUUUUGUGCAUGGAAACAAAUCAGUAACUCAACUCUACUAACAUGAGAUUUUUUUUUGGUUGUACAACUAACGUGAUUUUUAGCAAGAGAGUUUACCCCUAGGAAAUUAGCCUGGCCAAAUAAUCAAGGUGCAUUUCAAAUCAUCAUAUCAUAUUUUAAUAAAAGAGAAAUGAUAGGGACAAUUAUUUUCUAACACUUUCUCUAACAUUUUUUUUUUUGAGCAAACAUUCAUUCUUUUAUUAGGUGAACCUCAUCACUUUAUAUAAAAUUUAAUUUUAAAGCGUAGUAUCCAUAUGGACUUCACUCAAGUAUAUUGUUUCCUUUUCUCUUUACAAACUUUCAAAAGCCGUUCUUUUUCUACCAUUUGAAUUAUUUUGACAGCUGAAGGUGAUUCAUGACAAAUAAAUAUAGAGAAAACUGAGAUAGUUUUUUAUGGAGUAAUGAUAUUUGAACAUCCAUUUUUUAACAACUUUUGUGACAAUCAUCUCUCAUACUCUCAUUGUACUUUUAUUCUCUCUCUUUCUUUUUCUCUCUAUUGUUAUUGUCCAAUAAAAAGAGAGGAAAAAGGUUGUCAUUAAAAAUUAUUGAAAAUUAGUUGUCAAAAUAUCAUUACUCUCUUUUUUAAGCUACAAAAGAUGAGUGAAUAAACAACAAGUUACAACAGCAACAUAACAACGUGAAAUGGGUACAUCUCAAAAUCAAUUUAAAGGACAAAGGGCAUAAUGGAAAUAGGAAAAGCGUAUGUUUACAAUCUAACCUUAAAUUGACAAAAGAAAUUGGUUCUAAUAAGAAAAGCGUAUAUUUACAAAUAGUUCAUUUGGUUAUAAUAAAUAUCAUUAAUUAUUUUUUGUCAAAUAGUCUACUAAUUAGAUACGUGAAGAAUCUAAAGUUCGACCCUCGAUCCUUCCAUAUUACAUGAAAUAUCUCUAACAAUUAAGUUAUACUUAUAGAACAUAAAUAUUAUUAACUUGUUAGUUAAGAAAGUGAUUAUACCGAAACAAUGUAUCAUAUAAGAUCUAGUUAAAUUAUUAAAUAUUAACAUUAGAAGGUCUCAUAGUAGGUCAAUAUCUUGUCAUUAAAUUAAAUGUGAUAGUUUAGUGAUAAGAUCUCGACCUUUGUAAUUUUUAAAAAUUUAAUUAAUCUAAUUCUCCUUAGAAACACUUGUAAGAUGACCAAAUGUGCCACUUUAAUUAAUAAAGGUUUCCCCUUGUCCAAAAUAAACACCUUAAAUACACUUAGUCCUUUGUAACCAAAAAAAUUUAAUGAGUUAGUUAGUUAGUUAUUUUGAGUGUUCCUCCUAUUUUUUCUACUUGAUAGUUAUCCAAUCAGUUAGAAGAAUCUACCUAGUCAAAGUCAAGCUAGAAAACCAAGCAACUGAACCGCCAAAUUUUCUCAAUUACAUAUCUUCCAAAUCUUAAUCCAAAUUUCACUCUCUUUUUUUCUUCUUCCAUUCCAUUUUCAUUUCUUGCAAGUUGUUAUAAUCUCCCACAUUAUUCACAAUUCUUGUGCCAUAACCUUCAAUAUUUCUUCUUUUUCUUUGAUCAGUUUUGCACGUGAAAACCUUUCUUCUUUGUUUCCACCAUGACGACCAAGACCGUUCUUCCAAUCAAGAAAAGAAAGCCAGAAAUACAAGCCCAAAAAUGCAGCAUCACACGUGUGUCUGCACCAUCACCAUCACCAAAACCCUUGAACAAUGCAAACCAAAAGAGCAAAAGCAUCCUCACAGAAGAAUUCAAAGUUGCUUUGCAUGUGAUGAUUUACAAGGCUGAAGGAAUCGACAACCCCGCAAAUUACCCAAGUGUUAACAACAGAGCUUACAAUGUGGUGUAUUGGUUAAAGCCUGAUGAAGAAGCUUCCACCAAGAUUGCUGUAGGUGUUAACCCUGAAUGGAAUCAAGAUGAUAUGGUCGUGUUAGAGAAUCUUGAUGAUGAAGUUUUUCUGAAUGUUGAGGUACAGAGGUUUGAUUCUUUGCUUGAUCCUGGAACUUCUAGUGGUAAAGUUGUGAUAGGGAGGGUGAAGAUUCCUGUUCCGAUGGAGUUUUAUCGACGUAAAGUUGGGUCGUUUCCUCUGCUUAGGAGUGAUGGAAAUGGAAAUAGGCUUGAAGGGAGUAUUCUGCUUGCUAUGAGACUUCAGAGAAUCAAGGGUGAUUCUGAAUCUACUCUUCAAUAUUAUGCUGAUGACUUGUUUUUUGAAGAUGAUGUUGUUAAUUGAGAGAUAGUUACUUAAGACUUAGUACUUUGUUGUGCAUGAUUCUGUGAGUAAUGAGUUCUUUUUCUUUUUUCUGUUUACUAUAUUCUGUUACGAUCAUACUAGUUGGUUGAAUCAAACUCAUUUGUGAAUUGUGGGGAUGUAUUGAUAUUUGAUACUAGUUGUUAUGCUAGCUUGUGUUAAUUUUUGUUCAUGUGUGAAAUUCUGAGGUUAGAUAGAAUGUGGUCAUGAUCAUUGAUCAUGAAAUUUUAUGACUAAUCUGUGUUAACUAGUACGUACUAAUUAUGGAAUUUGUUUUUUUGUUUGUUUGGAAUCAAGCCAAAGAUGGAAUUUGGUAGUUAAUUAGCUGUGAAUCUUGAUAGGAAAUUUCUUGGUCCACAAUGGAUGGAUCAUGGUUCAUGCUGGUUUAGACUCUUUAAUAGAUAUGUGAAAACACAGGAAUUCCCAUCCGAAAUAUGGUGAAUCUUAAUGUGUUAAUACCAGUAUGUUCAAUCUUAAUGCUGCCAAAAUGAUCCUUCAAUUCAAUCUAUAUCAAACCAAUGCCAUUCGUUAUAGAGAGCACUGAAGGAAAUAUAGAGUGUCAGCUUCCAAUUUGAAUUUAAGUGAUUUGUCCGGUGAGAACUAGUAGUCUAGUACAUAUUGUGACCGAGGAGAAGUAUCAUAUGUGAUCUAUAAUAGAUUGAUGUUUGAAAAUAGCACAAAAUUUCCACAAUAACCGAGUGUUGCUACGAUUAAGUCAAAAUUUAGGCCGUCCAUAGAAGGAUUGGCGUUGAUUCGAUAAAAAUAUGAUAAACAAAUAGAAUUUUGUCGAAUCAACAUUGAUUGAGUUACGUACGGUCUCAAUAGAGAGGACGUCGUUGGAGGACGGUGAAUGAUGUUUAAGAUCCUAAUACCAUGCAUUGUGCACUUCAUAAUCUUAUGCUCAGAGACUGAGGAGAUUUUUUUUUUUUUUGGGAAUAAUGUAUCUUGAAACUUACUUUCUCUGAUCCAUAUACUAGCAACAAAAAAAAUUAGCUCGCACCCUUAAAGAAAAGUACAUAACUUUACUUAACUUGUCAUAGGAAAAAAAAAUUGGAUGUCUAUGUACACAAAGAUUCGAUGUAAGACAUUUGUACAAACACUGAUAUUUGAAAGUGAGUUCUAUUUGCAGGUUUACAAUGCUAAAUUAUUUAUGAUGUUAGUGGAGGAAGGAAGAAGAAAAUGAAUAAUGAAUUUUAAAUCAAUUUAUAGAUAAAAAACGUCACUUUAUAAUUAUUUAUAAUGACCAUAUUACCUCUUAAAAUCAAUUUUGGACUCCAAACAUAAUUUUAAUAGUAAACUUUUUGUAUUCAACUCACUUUUAUAUGAAUGUAUCUAAACAUAGAACAUUUUUCAAUCAAAUCACUAGUAACUAAAGAUUGGGUGUGAUUGAGAACGGUUGGUCGGAGCGGAACAACAAUCGAUCGAGUUGAAGUUGAGGAUAUUUGCAAGCACUUCAACGUUCAAGUCGAUAAGAGAACAAUACUUAGAGAUAUUUUUUAGAAGAAAUAAUAUGUACCUUGCUUCGAUGUGAAAAGUGGUACAAAUAAAACUAUGAUGGAGUUUAGUCGUUUGCAGCUGCUACGACCAUUGAGGGAUGUAAGGUGUUACAUGUUGCAGCCAUUCGAACUGGCCUAAGUAUGCAUUGAGGGUGGACGUGGAGCUCAGAUAGGACUCGAGUUUCAUAUUCCAUUUGGUCUAAGGUUUGACCUAUGAUGGAUGUGCAUGAAAAAAUAAUUGAAAGAAGAUGUCAAUUCUUUAAAUAAAUCUCAAAUAUUUUGAAGAGAUUUUUUUUUUUUUGGUGGUGUCUAGGGUUCGAACCCUAGUUCUUGCAUAUUUAUGCAUUGUCCUUGCUAAAUGAAUUAAGCUCAUAGGGACAGAUAAUUUGAAGAGAUUAGUCUUAACAUACAUAUGCCAAAUAUAUUUUUAAUUAAAAAAAUAUGUAAUCAAAUUUUGUCAUUACAAAACACUAAAAUUUGAGUUUUUUUUUCUUCAUGUUUAGUUAGUUAUGUUUUCUUGUUUAACAAAAGUUUAGUUAAUUUGUUUGAUAGAUCAAUUUGUCACAAAAUUGGUCUUCACAACCUUCCAAAAAUAAAAUAAAAUCGGUCUUUGGUCUUCACUAUUAAAGAUUGGAUAAGCCUUAACUACACAUCCUAUUGUGUCAUAACCAGUGUUAGUUGCAACCUCAUCACAAAACAACAAUGGCAUCUUCACGUCCUCCACCGUCAAAAUCCAUCGAUCUCGACUUAACUAUCAUCUCCGCCAAACACCUCAAAAACGUCAACUGGAAAACCGGCGAUCUCAAACCCUAUGUCGUCUUCUGGCUCGAUCCUGACCGUCGUCUCGCCACCAAAUCCGACGAUUCCGGUAACACCUCCCCCGUCUGGAACGAACGUUUCACCCUCCCUCUCUCUCUUCCUCUUCAAGAUUCCACCCUCACCCUUGAAAUCUUCCAUUCCAAACCCUCCGAUACCCCUAAACCCCUCGUCGCUACCCUCCGUCUUCCCCUCAAAGACCUUCCUGACCUUCAUCACUCCACAAUCGUCAAGAAAUUCUCCGUCGUUCGACCAUCGGGUCGACCGCAGGGGAAAAUUCAUCUCAAAAUUAGCCUCCUUGGCCGCUCUCCUCCUCCGCCAUCGCCACCGAUAUCACAAAUGUUUGAUUAUAACAACACAAUCCCUAAUCCUCACCCUAACCCUAACCCUAAUUCUUCAAAUCCUUCCUUUGUUUAUUACAGAGGAAACUCUUCUUCUGCACCUUCUCCACCACCUUCACCUUCACCUUACAAUUACUACACCAAUUACUCUGAUAAUAACUAUUCUGGUGGCAGUUACUUUCCUGGCUAUUAUCCUGGUGGUGCUUAUCCACCGCCGCCGCGGCCUUUCUUUGAACGUACUGGAAGUUAUGCUGCUGCUGCUGGACCGAGUGGACCGUCUGCGCCGCUUGAAUAUUCAUCCUCGUUUGAUCCAAGGCCAAAAGGCGGUAAAAUGGGCUUAGGAGCUGGGCUGGCUGUUGGUGCUGCUGCUGGGGCGCUGGGUGGACUUUCUCUGGAAGAAGGGAUGAAGUAUGAAGAGCGCAGGCUUGCGGAUAUGGUUGAAAGUGAUGUUGCUUCUGCGAGGGAUGAUUAUGGAGAUGCACAUUACCGAGAUUAUUGAGUUCUUUGUGGCUGGUGUUUGAUAAGGUUUGGAGUUUGAAGGAUAAUUAUUCUAUCUGGUGUUGCUUUGACAUAUAUAAAAAGAUAUAUAUGUGAUGUAUGUAUAUAUUUGAAUUUAGUGUUGGAUUGAAUGCAUAUUUGUUGCUUUAUUUGAUGCUAGAUGAUAAUGAAUGAAGUAAGAAAGAAAAUGUUUACCAUGUGAUGCGAUGAUUUGGAAUUGUUCAUCCGGUUAUAUUAUGAAAAUUAAAUAAAUUUGGUUUUCUUUUAAGUGUGGCUAGUGUGUUCUGUGUUUUGUUCAUGAUUUCUCAUAGGUCUAUGUAUAAUGCAGAAUUAGUUUGCAGCAUAAGUCUGUUCAUGAUCUUCCUCAAUGUUGCGUGAGGUUUCCCUUUUAGCGUUAUAUUUAUGCCUAAUGUAUCUGAUAUGGGUACAAGGCUAUGUUACCUUUUCAUAAAUUAACCUAGCAAAAGUGAACCCAUAUGGCUUUCCUUUCAAAUGUGUAGCAUGUUGAAGAAUUUGAGGUUCUUCAGAUGAUUGCUUGUUAAGCAUUUCAGCUGUGGUGCUUAUAAUGUUGCUUUAUUUAUCAAAUAUUUGACCAGCUAGGGCGUGUAUUGACUUUUUCAAUAUUGAUAAUUUGAAUUCAUUGCUGAAUGAGCUUAUGGAAAUAUCGAGUAAAAUAAUUAAAACUGAAAUGAAGAUGUACGUGGUUAUAUCGAUGGAAUAUAGGUUCUCGGUCAGUUCUGCUUUUAAACUGUAGUUCUUAUGUUAAAAAGCAUGCGUUUCUUUGUUUCUUAUAUAGACUCACAUUGCUACUUUUGACGUUUGUUCACUCCAGAGUUUUUAUCACCUGGUUCUCUUCAUAUAGUAAAUAAUGACAAUGUCACUUUUAAUCCACAUAUCCAGACCAAUGUCAACUACUGAAACAUAAUUGAACUUGAGCUCUUCUGCAUUUUGCAUCAUCCAGUGAGAGUUUUUUUUUUUUUUUUUUGAAUGGCAAAUAUGCAUUAUCCACUGAGAGUACUUGUGUCAUUGGAUCUAUCACUAGAACAAUUUAGCCUACAUGUUCAGAUUGGUGGUGAGUGGUGGCAUAAUUUGUUUGCGUCCCAAUGUACACACUGUUAAAAUUAGGAAGCUCCAAUUGGUAGCCAGCCAAAUGCAGUGAUAGAGUACUUCAUCGUGUUUACAUGCAUAAUGGUUGGAGUGCACCGAUGUGUAAUUGUUUAUCUUUCAAUUUAAAUGGAUAUGAUAUUGCUUUUGUCCUUGCUAAGAACUAAAAAUUAAUUCUUUCAUCAUGUCAUUUUUUAGUGGAAAUUAUUGUUUUUUAGUGUACUGAUGUGAUAGGGCAGGUAUGGGUGUUCACACUUAAAGUUGGUUUCUUUUUAAGUGUGUCUACUAUAUUCUGUGGUUUUGUUCAGAGUGUCUGUAUAAUACAAAAUCAGUUUGUAGCAUAAGUUUGUUAUUGAUCUUCCCGAUUGUUGUGUGAUGUUUCCAUUAUAGCAUUAUCUUUAUGCCUAAUGUACUUAACAUGGGUACAAUAUGCUUGUGUUAAUCAUGUUUGCCUUUCCAUCAAUUAACCUUGCGAAAGUGAAGUCAUAGCCCAUAUGGCAUUGUUUUCCUUUCAAUUGUGUUCCAUAUUGACGAGUUUGAGGUUCUUUGGAUUAUUACUUGAAAGAAAUUCUGCUCUCCUUAAAUUCGUUGGAAACUUAGGGCUAGUGCAGCUUAUAAUGUUGCUUUAUUUAUCAUAUAUUUAACCAGCUGGGACAAGUAGUGACUUUUUAAUAUUGAUAAUUUGAGUUCAUUGCUGAAUGAUAUGGAAAUAUUGAGUAAAAUAAUUAUAAAUGAAAUGAAAUCAUGAUGUAUGGGUUAAUAUCAAAGGUCUAUAGGUUCUCACUUAGUUCUACUUUUAAAACCGUAGUUUUUAUGUUAAAAAGCAUGUGUAUCUUUGUUGUUGCUAGACGUACAUUACCACUUUUGGCGAUUGUUCACUCCAGAGUUUUUCACCACCCUGUUCUCUCUUCAUAUAGUAAGCAAUGGCAUUGUCACUUUUAAUCCACAUGUCCUAACCAAACUCUAUAGGUAAACAUAAUUGAACUUGUGCUCUUUUGUGUUGAAAAAGAUGACCGAGAUAGUUAAUUUGAUAAGCAAAUUAUCCAGUGGGAGUACGUAUUUCAUUGGAGGUAUCAUUAGAAUGAUGUAGCCUAUGUUUAGAUUGGUGGCGACAUACAUUUUUCCGCGCCUCAAUGUAGACACCUUGUGAAAAUUAGGAAGCUCCAAUUUGUAUCAGUAGCUAAACAAAAAUGAUGCAGCAUUCCGUUGUGGUUAUGCACAUAGUGGUUGUUGGAGUGUACUUUUGUUUAUCUUUUGAUUUGAAUGGAUAUUGUCCUUGCCAAGAACUAUAUCUUUCAUACUGUAUGUUUUUUAGUGGAAAUUAUUGUUAAGUUACUUCACUGUCGUAAUACAUUAAGGCUGAAGAAUGUUUAGCACAAAAGAAUGUUCUGUCAGUUGUGGGUUGUUAGUUUACUUUUUUGGUUAUCCAAGUUGAAAACAAUUUUUUUGCCAUAUAUUCGAAUGUGAUACUUUAUUGUUUUCAGUAAGUAAAACUUCUUUCCAGUGCACUAUGUAGGAAUACAUAUUCCAAUCGCUUGAGAUUUUAUUCACCAUAAACCUGGAAAACAUAGGCCCUGAUAUUCUAAAAUCUAGAUGAGAGAAUGUCUCCUUCUCCAUUGGCUCAAGCAUCGUUCCUAGACGUGCAUUGAAAUCAUUAUAAUUUGCAGUGUUAUACUUAUUGUACGAAAAAUGCUUCGUGUUGUGGUUUUUUUUUUUUUUUUUUUACAACAGCUUCUUGUUGUGGCUAGCUCUAUGUGUAUAGUUGUCUUGAUUAGCCAUGCUCCUCCCAUAGGAAUUGCGCUGACUCUGGACGUGUGGUGUGAGAUCAUUAGGAAGCUUCCUUGGUAUUCUUCUCUGGUUAACAUGUACAUUGUUCAUGCAGAGAGUGAUAGGCUGUCUGGUAUGGCUUGAGGGAAAAUGGAAUCCCUAUUUGCUCUCUGACUUCAUAUAGGAAUAGGGAAGGUUUCCUUGUCUCUAAACAUCCUUGUUCUGGUUUGUGGGAUGAAUGUUUAUAAAGUAGCCGAUACUUUUGAUUUGGGAUCUUUGUUCAUGUUCUUAAAUCAGCAGUCUUUUUUAAAAAAAAAUAAAAUAAAAUCAAAAUGAUAUAUUAAUCAGAGAGCCAUCUUCCAUCACUGUUAAAAAAGCAAAAAUUAGUGAGGGAAUUUUAGAAAGGGAAAACGUGAAAUUCCUCUCUAAUUCCGUCACUAAAUUUUACGACCAAGGAAUUUGUGAGAAAUUUUAUUUUUUCUAUCACUAAUUUCCCUAUCUAAUUUUACUUUUUUUAGUAGUGCAUGUAUAAGGUAUACCACAGAAAACACUAACAAAAUACAAUCUUAAAUCAGCAGUCUUGGCACCAAUGGUGCCUCCAUCCACCCAAAAAAAAUGCACUAGAACGUAAAACAAAACAAUAUUCAAAUAACUUAAAAACUUAAAAGUAAACUAAUAACUUUAAAAAUAAAAAUUUAUAACAGGGUUCCUUUAAAUUUAACGUAUGUAAUCUGUGGCAUAGCCUUUCAUGUAAAAGGAGUAGCCUUGACUACCUCCAAAUAAUAUUUUUUUGAAUUGAUUAAUAUAUCUAACUAUCCCAAAUAAUAAAUAUUGAGGUACAUGAUUGAUAGAUUUAUAUGUAUAAGUUUGGUACUUCCGAUGUCAAUAACAACUAUAGAGAAAACUUUUUCAUCAAGAAUCUAUUUUUUAAACCGUCAAUUAUGGAUAAAAAAACACAUUUUGUCCAACUUUUUUAAAUAGCAUACUAUCAAUUUUUGUCAUUUGUUGCUGCUCUAAGUUAAUUUUCGAAUUAUUUUGUUUUUUAUCUCUACGACACUUGCAAUUUUUAAUGUAAGUUUUUAAUUUUAGUCUUUAAUUUUUCGUUAUAUAGAUUAAGGCCAAGACUUGAAACACUUUUUUUUUUGUAAAAUUUUAAAAAAUUGAAUGCAAUUUUUGUAUGAACUAAACCUAAAAAAUUAUAAUUUAUAAGACUAAAAACAUAUUUUAUCCUUAAAUUUAAUAUGUUGAUUUUAAAAUAUUUUAUUUUUUCUUAAAGUUGUCAAGCGAGUCUUUUUGUGCUUACCUAUGGUUGUCGGUUUAAAUCCUAGUUUCCGCACAUAAAGCGAAAUUAUUGUUUAUAUUAAUAAAAAAAAAUUAAAAAUCAUGUCCUCAACCAACAAAUCAUGUCACUAUGCAUAAAGAUUAUUAUUUUUAAUAUGACCGGGGCUUUCAAAAUGUUCAAGAGGAUCCUAAAUUAGAUUUGAAUGAUCAUAAUUCAUAUCCAUUCAUGAACUCGUGCCUCAUUUUCCCUGUAUCUCCAGGGUGAUUGAAUCUAUACACAUUGUACAAAAAGAGAAAAAGAAGACGAGAAUCACAACCGAUAUCCAUAUAUCAUCCAAAUAAAUACAAAAAUCUUAAAAGUUAUUCCUAGUUUAUGCUGGUCCAAAUAACAUAAUAGUACAAAAAUCUUUUUAUUUUUGACAAAAUAGUCCAAAAAUCUUAAAAAGUUAUUCCUAGUUUAUGCUGGUCCAAAUAGCAAAGAAUCUGAUUAUGAUAUUAACUCAACUCACCCUCUUAAUAGGUCCAUUUGAUUGAAAUUAACCACAUACAGAUAACCUGGAGAAAAAGACUCUUACAAAAUAGAAGUACAAUUAUUAUGGCUAUGAUGAAUCCCAUUACAACAAAGAACGGAAAACCAAUUUGUCAAAAAAAGAAAAUGAAAACCAAAUGAUUAAGCUUAAGUGAAUAUUAAUGAUGAGAUGUUCUGGAGAACCAUGUUUGAAUUCCAACAAAAAUAAUCUCUAGCGAGACUUUACUUUUCCUUUAAGAUUAUCAAAGACCAUUUUUUUUUUUCCGACACUUCUUAUGUUGGUUAAAAUUCAUUGUUCGGUUUUUUUGUUUUUUUUUGUCAAGUAGUCUAGUGGCUAGAGAAAUUCACCUUAAAGAUGAAUAAGUGGGAUGUCCGAGGUUCGAACCCCAACCCCUACACAUAUUGUGCAUUAUCCCUUACCGGAUGAGCUUAGGGGACUCAUUGUUCGGUUUAAUAUGUCUCAUUUUAGAUUGUUUAAAAAAAAUAUUAUCAAAGAUCAUUUCGCUCAAAAAGGAGGGCUAAUGAGCAAAAAAAAAAAUUGCAUUGCUAGACCAUGAUUGCUUAGUGGUCAUUGUGUUGAGUUCAAACAAUUCUUAAUUUCAAACUAAUAUUUUAUUAUUUUUAAAAAUAUUAAAAUUUGUCUCCAUGAGUUUAGGCUAGGUAGUAGGGGCAAUGUAUAUUAUAUGUAGGGGUUAGAGUUUGAACAUCGCACACCCUAAUUUACCACAUUUAAAUAUGUGAGCUCCCGCCAAUAAACUUUUUAGGGUGUGUUUGUUUCAAGUUAUAUUUGUUGAUUCCUGAGAAUAAAAUGAUAGAAAUGUAUAUGCCUAUGUUUGUUACAAGUUUACUAAAUUUUAUUCCUGGGUAUAAAAUGUUCCUGAAAAUAGAAAAAUUUUCCCAAAGAAAUUGGUGGGAAUAAAGUUCCCAUGGAGAUGAGAAUAAAUUCUAAUGUAGUUACCUAUUAUAAUCCUUAUUUUUAUGAUUCCAAGAAAUAUUAUAAAACUAACCAAACAUGUUUUUUCUAUAUACCUUGGAAUAAAAUUCCUAUCUUUAUAUUCUAAAGAAUGUUAUUUCCAGGAAUAAAUUUGGUAAACUUGAAACAAACACACCUUUAAUAAAAAAAGAGACACCGAUUAAAGUUACUAAAAAAACAAAAUUAUAUAGUAAUUAUUGCAUUAAAAAUUGUGUAAUUAAUUCAUAAAUAAGUCAACAAAAUUUUCUUUUAUGGUAAUAAAAUCCUUUUUUUGUAUGAUUAAUCAGUGUCCGGGGACCCCGCUUAACAAUAAAAAAAACUUACAUUAAAAUCUUAACCGUUUAUAAUCUUAACCGUCAAAAUUUUGAUAGGAGGGAAUCCGAUUUGGAAGUUGCAGAAGGCCGCCAACCACCUGUCAUCAACUUUUAAGGGUGCAUGCACCAACACACCUUAAGGCUGUCUAUAAAAACAAGACACAACAAACCCAACGUCUCAAACCAUUUUAAUAUCGAAGAACGCACAUAAUUCGAAGUUCAAUAUUAACACUCCAACGUAAAAUUGGUAAAAUGGCUUUCAUGUUUAAUUACACAAAUUCAUUCGAUAUAAGAACCUUGUGACAAAAGGCGUGAUUGGCUUAGCAGUGAAAAUUGUCCAAAUCGACGUUUUAUGUGAAGCUACCUUUUGUAGCUUUUAAACCACGGCAGAAAGUGCCUCGUAACGAGGUAUUUGCACUUCCACCGCUUUAAUAAACACAUACAAAGUUGAUUUGAUUUGUCUAUAACGAUUAGCUCAACUGACAAUGUUUGUUAGGUUUGACACGUUUACUUAGAAUUUCACAGUUUAAAUUUAUUAUAUGUGAGUUUCAAAUUGUAUUUGUCACGUGACAGAAAGUAAUUAAUUUGAUUUGAAUGAUAUGAUCAUAUCCGAUCGUGAAUGCAUCCCUCAUUUUGCUUGUAUGUGUUGGGUGAUUGAAUUGAAUUGAAUCUAUAUAUCUAUAUACAUUGUACAAAAGGAGAAAAAGAAGAAGAGAAUCACAAUCACUACAAACCAAUAUCCAUAUAUCAUCAAAAUAAUUACAAAUAUACAAAAACAUAAAGUAAUAGUUAAAAGCUUAAAAACUAUUCCCAAUAUAUGUUGGUCCAAAUAGCAAAGAAUUUGAUUAUGAUCUUAGCAUUAACUCACUAUCUUAACAAGUCUAUUUUGAUUGAAAUUAACCAUGUGUUGAUAACCUAGACAGGAAAAAAAAAACAAAAAAUAUUUACAAAAUAGUACUGCUAUUAUUAUUAAUAGCAAAUAAUUUGACUAUGAUCUUAGCAAUAACUCACUAACUUAAUAUGUUCAUUUUGAUUGAAAUUAACCAUGUGCUGAUGUGCACAUAAGCUAGAGAGAAAGGAAAAAAAAAGCAAAAAUCAUACAAAAAAGUACUGCUAUUAUUAUCAGCAGCAAAAAAUUUGAUUAUAAUCUAAGCUAUAACCCACUUUUUUUUCUUUCUAGGGAAAUAACUCUCUUAAUAAGUUCAUUUUGAUUGAAAUUAACCACGUGCAGAUAACCAAGACUGAAUUUCUCAAAAAACAAAGAAAAACCUAAAGAGAAAAAAGUAACAAUCAUACAAAUGGGAAUGCUACUAUUAUUAUUAUUGGGGAAAUACUAACAAGUGCCCUCAUUUGUUAAGACUAAAAAAGAAAUUUUGUCUUAAAAAUAGCGCAUUCAAUACAUUCAAACUUUAAAAAAUAACUUUUUCUAUUUAAAAUUAUCAAUUAUUUUCAUUUUUGUAUCAUUAAUAACAGUAUAGGUUUGAAGAAUCAUGUUCAAAUUUGACGUAAAAUAAUCCUUAGUCAGAUUUUACCGUCUUUUAAGAUUAUCAAAUUAGAUCAUUUCCAUUAAUAAAUGGAGGGUCAAGACAAAAAAAAGGGAAGUUGCAAGACCAUGAUUGCUCAUAGUCGAAUUUUUAUCCAUUCAUACCAUCAAUACAUUUGUGCUUGUUAGAUUGAGAUUAUACCGUUCAAAUUUCAUUGAUACUUUAUUUAUACUAUAUGUAAGCAAAAGUGAGUUAAAUGAAUUUGAUUUUAUACUAUCCGUGAGCAAAAAUGAGUCAAAUAAAUUUGAUGUAUCUAGAGAGAAUUUUGAAACAAAUACUUCAAUUUUGUUUGACCAACUUUUACUUACAUAUGGUAUUUAAUAGAUAAAAAUUUCUUUAAAAAAAUUAAAAUUAAAAUUAAAAUUUGCAUUAAAAUAUGUAGGUGAUUAAUUUUGAUCCAACGGUCACUAGUGAGUGAUGUGAUGACCAAGAGCAAAGAAUCCAAUUAUUAUAGAAGUUGCACCAACAACCACCCGUCAUCAACUUAUAGGGUGCAUGCACCAACACAUCUUAAGGUUGUCUAUAAAAACAAGACACAAUGAACGUCUAAAACCAUCUCAAUCACUUGCAAACUAUAUAAAAGAACAAAACUUGCACCAAGAGUGAAAGAUCAAUAUCUACUACUCUCUUAAGUAAAAUAUAGUAUAAUAAUGGCAAAACAUUGUUCUAAAGAUUCUAGUGCAGUUACCAUCCUCUCAAAAUGCACUGUUUUCCCAGACCAAAAAUCGACCCUAGCAGACCUCAAACUUUCUAUCUCAGACCUUAACAUGAUAUGUUGCCAUUACAUCCAAAAGGGCAAUCUCUUCACAUCGCCAUCUCUCCCUUCUCAAACACUCGUCCCCCACCUUAAAACCUCUCUCUCUAAAACCCUAUCAAUCUUCCCCCCACUUGCUGGCCGUUUUGUGACCGACUCUGCCGGUCACAUCUUUAUCACAUGCAAUGACUCUGGCGUAGAUUUCAUCCAUGCCAGCGCCACGGAUCUCACUAUCACUCACCUUUUAUCACCACCUGAUGUCCAUCCAGCAUUCAAACAAUUCUUCCCAUUCCACCGCAAAAUCAACUACACUGCUCAUUUCUCACCGAUUUUAGCUGUUCAGGUAACUUCCCUCGCCGAUGGAAUCUUCAUCGGCAUCGCUGUCUCCCAUGCCGUCACCGACGGUUCCACCUUCUGGAAUUUCUUCAACACGUUUGCAGACAUUUCUAGAGGACUCACAGUCGCUAACAGAAUCCCGUAUUUCCGCCGGGAAUCGAUCCUGAUGUCGAAAGUCCCUGUCCAGUUACCGGAAGGUGAAAUCAAAGUAUCGUUCAACGCCGACGCGCCUCUCCGUGAGAGAAUUUUCACCUUCACUCGAGAAUCAAUUCAGAAGCUAAAAGCAACGGUGAAUAAGAACAUUAACCACCGUACAUCACCGGAAAAUGCUGACGUGGCUGAGAUAAUAUCAAAGAUGAAAAACGACGAUGCUCAAAUGAAAGCGGUUGCAGAAAGAGUAACUGUCGAAACGACAGAGAUUUCAUCGUUUCAAUCACUCAACGCGUUAAUGUGGCGAUGUGUUACACGCGCGAGGAAACUUGAUAGUUCUAAAACGACGACGUAUAGAAAUGCUGUGAAUGUUCGAAGCCGUUUGGAACCAAAGUUACCAGAGUAUUACUUCGGGAACGCGAUUCAAAGCAUUGCCACGUACGCAUCAGCGCGUGAAGUCGUUGAAAACGAUCUUACAUGGAGUGCGAUGCAGCUGAGUAAGAGUGUGAAGGAGUACGAUAGUGCUACAGUGAGGCGCGUCGCAGGGAAAUGGGACGUUGAGCCGAAGUGUUUUCCGAUGGGGAAUCAUGACGGUGCAACUCUUCAGAUGGGAAGUUCCCAUAGGUUUCCGAUGUAUGAGAAUGAUUUUGGAUGGGGGCGGCCGUUGGCGGUGAGGAGUGGUGGUGCGAAUAAGUUUGAUGGGAAGAUGUCGGCGUUUCCGGGGAGGAAAGGUGGUGGUGCGGUGGAUGUGGAGGUGCUUUUGGCGCCGGAGACGAUGGCAAGGCUUGAGAGUGAUGAGGAGUUCAUGGCCUAUGCUUCUUGUCAGCAGUGACACGUGGGAGAAUGUUGGAAGCGCGUAAUUGUCACCUCCUCUCCGUUGGAAUAAAACUAUACUUUGGGAACCAUUGUUACGUUGUAGUCCUUGAAAGUUAGUCUUGAUUUCAAUUACUAUAUCAUUUAUUAGUUAGUAUUAGUUGAAUAUUUUGAAUCAAAUGACCGUGGUGGUAAUUUUGAAAUUUAUGGUGUAAUUGCUGGAAAUGCUACUCCCUCCAUUUCAUUUUGAUUAUUACUAUUGUAUUUUUUUCUCUGUUUUAAAAUCGUGGGUAGAAAUUCCUCAGCAUAUAAAAUACUAUGCAAUUUUAAUGAAGAUAGUGUGGAUGUGGUGUCGUCCAAAAUUUGGCAACUUGAUACCACAUAAAGGAUACUUCCACUGUCUCAUAAUACACACAAUUGAUCUUAUUACGCGUGUCAAUGCAUAAUUUAGAGCUUAAAUAUCUUGAAUAAUAUAUUAGAAGUGUUCCAAUCCUUCAAAUUAGCACCAAAGAAAACACUUCGUUUCCCAGAAUACACAAAAACAUAACGUGAAUUCUAAAAUUAUUGUUGACAUUCUUAGGAGUGAAGGAGUGGAAAAUGUGUAUGGUUGGAGAUUGAUACAAAAGCUAAAGAGUCCGCCAACUAUGAAUUAAGAAUUCAAAGUUUGUCACUCAUACCGUAAAGUUAAUGCGUGUGCGGUCACGUUUGCUGAUAUGUGAUGCGAUCAUGAGUCUAUUUUAAUGUUUUAUUGGCAUUGUUAUGCUCAAGUUAGAUCCAUGUAUUUGGGUUAUUUGGUGGAAGUUGUCAUCUUUAUACUUCCUUCUAGUUUCUUUGGGCAUCAGCCCACUUUUCUCAAAAAAAAAAAAAAAGGAAUUAAUUCAAUUUAGUUGGCCGUACGUACCUACCUAGUCAAAGACGUAUGCCUGAACAGAUGAUGAAAAAUAUAUGAGAAAGCAACUAUGAAGAUUUCCGGCUAGUCAACAACGGUAUCAAUACACUUACAACAAUCCCCAUGCAUGCAUAAGUAGUUUUAUUCAUCUUAUCAUGCGUUUGGAGUUUGGACUCAUAUGAGCUAUACGCAUGUAUGUGCAGCAUCACCGAUAAUUCAAUAUGAAAAUAAAUCUCGCACUCCAUCUUUUACAUAUAUACGUGGUCCCCAUUGACUAUUUCUUGAUGCUUCAUAAUUCUUAAUACAGGCUUAUGCCUAUAGAUAUAAUUGAACUCAGUCACUCACUAUCAUCCCCAUACACCCAUUUAUCUGCAGAAUCCAAUAUAAUCAUGACUUGGUUUAGAGAUGGUUGACCAUGCGUGUUACUCGAUUUGUACGUUAAUGAAUCACAUGGGGGUUUUACCUAUUGGGAUGAUGGUUAUGGUGUAAGGCAAAGCAUCCUGUUACGUAUAUGAAUUUGAUAUAUAUACCAUAGAAAGCCUAGGACAACGGCUGCAUUUUUUCUCACGUGCAAAAUAUGCACCUGCUUAAUGCAUUUUUUUAUGAGCAAAUAUGUAAUUUGUUUUAGUUAUCGCAUAAUGUGUUUUUAGAUUGAGAAAUACGUAUUAGGGUUACACAUUUUAACGCACUUCUAUAAUACAUUCCAAUUUAACGCACUUCUAUAAUACAUUCCAAUAACCAUUAGCUAUGUUACCCACUUUAAUUUCAAAGUUGGGAAUUGCCGUCAAUGGCUUUUGGUUGAUCAAAACAAAAGAUAAUUUGAGAAGGUUGGUUUCGUAGUUUUGUUCAUUCUUUGGUAAUUCCAUCGGAAGUGUAACGACCAAAUUGAUAAAUGUAGUGUCUGACAUAGAAUCUUGUAGAGACCAUCUUGACAAAAGUAGCGUCUAACAUAGAAUCAUGUAGAGACCAUCUUAGAAAGGUUGAAUAGAGGAGAUGAAUAGUUAAUCUAAAUAAUAAUAAAAAAUAAAAUAAAAUAUACACUAUUAAAAUGAAACCGGUUGCAACGUUAAGGAAUAAAGAAAGGUUUGAGACCCUUUGAGCAGGGUACAGGGUAUGGUACUUUGCGAGGGAGGGGGUUGGGGGGAAGGGGAUGAGAAGUCGCCAGUCAGUGUAGCAGGUUUUUCUUAAGUAAUAAAGAUAAAGACGUAAAAAUAGGGUGUAAAUAACAUAUGUCGAAAUCUUAUGUAAGUGCAAUUCAUAAAUGAUAGGAAAGAUUUGGAGAGAAUCAAGUACUGACUGAAACAUACUCCAUUUGUUUUCUCAUCAGAAAAAUAUACUCGCAAAUACAGAACGGUUUCCGUUAAAAAAAAAAAAAAAAAAGUGAAGGUUGUUCAAUCUAUUGGCUCAUUGCUGACUACACAACAUCAUGUAUGAGUUGCAACUCACAACACUGCUCGCGUGUUAACUAAUCUAAAACUGUUGCUUGAUGGACAGGUGAUAAUCAGCAAAAGUUAAUGAGACAGAUUUCAUUUCUGAGAUCCUGAUCCAUUUGUUGAUAAUAGGUUCUUCAACAAAUACUAAACUAAGAAGAUGAUCAUAGGAUACAAGAGUAACAUACAGAAAUAAAGAGCACGGGAAAUAGUGUAAAUGAAUUAUGCCAUGCAUGUUACUUGUAUUUCUCUACCCUAUCAGAAAUGCUCAAGAAGACCGACAAAUGCAAUUAAAAUGUAAGAAUCCCGGUCCAUGGAAUGGAAUCAAUCAUAGUGCCUUUAGAGCUCAACCCAUUGCAAUCGUCGAAACCUUAUGCAGCUGCACUUGGUACUGGUGCUGGUUUUGAGUCUUCUGCCCUUUCAUGUUCUUUGUUGAGCAUCUGAAAUUACAUUUCAAAUAUUAAAACUCAUAAAUCACAGUGAUGAAUCCUAAAUAUAAUGUAAUAAUGAAUCCUAAAUAUAAUGUAAUAAUGAAUCCUAAAUAUAGAGCCAAAAUCAGCAAAGAUAAAUAAUACUUUGCCCAAAAUUCAGGAUACUGAAUCUCACCUUGUUGUUAAUCAAGUUGUGGAGUGCAAUUACACUUCUAAUGAGAGACGAUAGGUAUAUUACCAGCAUCAUAUCAUUCGUUUUCACUACACAUGUAGAACAAGAAUUAACAAUCUAGAAGAGACAUUCGGAUAAACAUCAUAUUCAUACAAUCAAAUCACAAAAUUUAACCUGCAAAAGCCUUGAUAAGAUCAGAGACAUUGAGAUUUGGUAGCAGGUUGAACACGUCCUAACAAAUUACAGCAAGAAAUUAGAUAGGGGAAAAAACAAUAAUGGAGCAAAAGCAACAAUAAAACUUGUUAUUCAAUGCAAUUAUUUUUUCCAUCCAUAUAUGUCUCGUGGUUGACAAUUAGAGGUGGGGAUCAACAUUAUAUACGUUGGUCCACAUUCACGAACAAUUUGAAGCCUAGGGAUUAGUAUUUAAUAUGCAAGAUUAUGAGAAACAAACCUGCAGAUGGUAUAGGAUCUCAUGGUUUAAGGGAAGCUUUCCAUCAAUAACAAGAUCAAGGUAACCCCUUAUCUCUUUAAGUCUUGCAUCCAAACCUUUCAAGGCUGUGAGUUUUCCGCUCACCUAUGUAAAAAGCUACAGUGUAAGCACUCUGCAUUCAUUUUCUUCACUAAAAUAAACCACAAAAAAGCAUUGCAGGGAAAAAAACGUACAAAAAGAGACUGUUUCAUGAAAAAAGGAAAUGAAGUAAACGAAAUUAAUAAAUAAGAAUCUGUUUAAGGAGAAAAAAAAACCUCGGUUGCAAGGGUGCUAAUGGUUGUAUCCUUCACAUCCCUGAGCAAGUGUUCCACUCCUGCACAAAGAUAAGAAGAAUUCAAAAAAGAAAAAAAUGUUCAGCAAGCAACUAUAUGGAUAAAAUCAAAAGACCUAGUAAAAAUGAACCAUGGAAAAAUUGCAGAAGUUCUACAUUAAAUGACAUACCUAUUUCCUCAACCUCAUGAGCAGCGAUCUCUGAUUGCACAUGCACAAAGACCUUUUGGCUUUUCUGAGUAGCAUUCUGCAUUCAGAAUAAACUAUCUAUUAAAAUACUAUCUCUUCUCCCACCGUCCAUAUACAGAGGAGUCAUUUUUGCAAUAAUAUCAAUAAAAAUAUAAGUUUAAUAAUUCUAUCAUGGGUAUAAGGGACUUUAACCCUACCUCUUUAACCUCCUCAACAGCAUAGUAUGCUUUUGUUGGAAUUCCCAACUCCUUAGGUUCAACAUCAAUUAUAACCAAAACGGGAUUUGGAACAUAGCUGCAAUAGUUAAAAGCAUGAUCAAUUUGGAUAGAGAUUGAUCCGGAAUACAAAGCACAGAUGAAGACAAUAAUGCAAGUAAAGAGGCAAACACAACAGCAGCAACAUAUAGAAAUGUCUUGUGACACACUAACCAAAUCAUGACAACAUUUUCACAAGGGUAUAAGGGUAAAGAAUUUGCCGUCACUAAAUUUACAAAUAUUUUGGAGAUAUUAAAGCCUAAAUGGGGUAAAGGUAAAGAAUUGAAACAUUACUCCACACAAGAUUUCAGUUCAUAAAACAUACUCAUUAAAUAACCCAUGAAUGUCGAGGUCAUUUUCUCGCAGCUUUGGACCAGUGCUAUACCACCCCACCACAUGCUCCUUUGCUGUAAAGAUUGUUUGUUUAGAUCAGAUAUUCAAUGGAGAGAUUGAUACAAGAAAAUGAAAAAUCUACAAACUCAUACCAUUUAUUCUCUUAAACAUGGAAAACAUUGCUUCGUGAUAAUUGUGGUCGAGAAACCAAAUGCUGGGGUCCUUGUCAUCUUCUUCAAAAGGCACUGUUGAUUAGAUAACCAAUUAGUCAGAGAUAUACAAUUAACAUAUUCUAUUAGCUGAUUCUAUUUCUAAAUCACACAUAGAUGAUAGAAUCAUCUUAACCAAAUUUAUAUUUGAAGUAAUUGUUUCACACAUUCAAUUGGAUAUCCAACUCAAUAAACAGAUCAGUGGAGAAACUAGUGUCAUGAGAAACUUCAUUAUUUGUUAUAAUUACUUACUAUAUAACAAACAUGUCAAACUAAUAGAAGCCACAACUGUGGCAAGCUGUCUUCAAAAAUUCUUUGAAAUUAUAAAUAAGACAGCACCAAAGCUAAGAAAACCCUUCAACCAUCACACAGAACUGUCAUAGAGAUUCAACCAAGUUUUAUGUUGGUUGUUGACUGCCUAACGAAACAUUUCAACCAUCACAGUAUCACACAAAACUGUCAUACAGAUUCCACUAAAAAUAAAUGUUGGAUGUUGACUGCCUAACACAAUCCUUCAACCAUCAUACUGAACAGUAAAAGAGAUUCGACCGAUUUUACAUUGGUUGCCAACUGCCUAACACAACCCUUUAGUCAUCACGUAGAACAAGACUAAAAAAAUUAAGGUAAAGAUUUCCACAAACAAGUCGUAUCAUGCUUUGAGCCAUCUCAUACUAAACUAUACCUCCUAGAAAUUGCUAAUAGGUAAUAACUUUGGGCAUUACACAGAGUGGCAAACAUGUGGACCAAAAUAGAGAAGAAUACAUUAAAGUAAAUAUUGAUUACCAUAUCAUACCAUAUACUCACUCUAGACUCAAUUAUAAGCAAAAAUAUGUACUUUCACACAUUAAGGAUGACAGUUGAGUGCAUUUAAUUUUCUUGAUUUCAUUUAAAAAAGAAAAUACAUUUACUGGUCUACCCCUAAUUAUAAUGGUUAUUUCCCAUGAUAUUAAGGAAUCGAUGUAAGGGUAUUUUUGAAAAAGUAAAACUUUUUCUUAUAGAAUCCAAAAAAUUUAGGCAUUUUUAUACUUCUUAUAAUGGAGCCUGGGGUAGUACAUAAAAAAACUUAAGGUUAGAAUUACACAUACACUACUCCUAAGUCAAAAAUCAGGUCUGUUCAUUCAUGAUUCAAAUGUAAAAGAAAUUUAAUCCAAGUUCAAUGCGCUCUACACAGAUUGGUUAAAUUUGAAUAAACAUGACUUUUUUUGAAAGAGAUGUUGAUUUUUGCUUAUAAUAGUGACUGGAGGGUGUAGAUCGGUUAAAUUUGAAUAAACAUGACUUUUUUUGAAAGAGGAAUGUUAUUUGAACAACCAUUUUAUGAGACAACUUGAGGGACAACCAAAAUAUACAUUUAUGUGGGUCUUAGCACAAAAAUCAAAGCAAUAUAUAUAUAUAUAUAUAUAUAUAUAUAUAUAGAGAGAGAGAGAGAGAGAGAGAGAGAAUGAGAACAUAAUGUGAGUAUGAGAAAGGAAAUUGUCAUAUAAGUUGUCACAAAAUGGUUGUUCAAAUAUUAUUUCUCCUAAAAAAAAAUAGCAAAAUGUGUAGUAGUAAAAGAGGAACAAAAUGCUAGGGUCCUUGUCAUCUUCUUCAAAGGGCACUGUUAAUUAGAUAACGAAUUAGCAAGAGAUAUACAAUUAACUUAUUCUAUAAGCUGAUUCUAUUUCUAUAAAUGAUAGAAUCAUCUGAACCAAAUUUAUAUUUGAAGUAAUGACUUUACACAUUCAAUUGGAUAUCCAACUCUGUACACAAACCAAUGGAGCAACUAGUGUCACAGGAAACUUUGUUAUACCUUAAACAUACUGUGUAAGAACUAAGAAACAUGUCAAUUUAUUAAUAAGUGACAACUGUGGACAGGAGUCUUCAAGAAUUGUAUGAAAUUAUACUGAAGGAGUUCUAUAUAAGAGGUCCAGGGUUUGAUCCAUACUGAGAACAUUCCCCCCUCCCUCUAACAAACUAAUCACUAAAAUUGUCCUAAAAGAGACAACACAAAAGCUAAGAAAAUACUUCAACCAUCACACAUAACUGGCAUAGAGAUUCGACCAAUGUUCUGCUCUAGAACACAGUCCUGCGGGUUUGGCCCUGAUUAAGCCUGGUUUGCCUAAGGUUUUAGGGUGAGUAUUGAGUGUGUAAUGGUUAGAUCCCUUGCCCCAGAAGCUAAGUCCCCCUUUUAUAUUAUCUGCUUUAGGGUUUUGCCUCUUCCAAUCAUUUGUCAGGCCCAAAUCCAUAGGAAGUGUUGGUCCUAAGGAAUUUUCUGCCCUUAGUUGGCAAUGAUCAGGCAUAGUACAGUAAUUCCAUGUGGUGGCCAGCCUAACUUCUUGAAAUUAGACGUCAGUACUACUACUAAGUCGACCAUCCAGUCACAGGGGCAGGUGUUGGGACUUUAAACUAAGUGAGUCCUAAGUCAGUCCCUACAUCUGUUCCGCAUUCUACCUUGUCCCUUUAGCUCGGUCGACCAGGGAUCCUAUGCCCUUUAUUGGGAGCACCGACUCUAAGGUACUAUACAACCAAGUUUUACAUGUUGGUUGUCGACUUCCUAACGAAAGCCUUCAACCAUAACACAGAAUUGUCAUUCUGUUACAGAUUUUUAAAUGAAGUUAGGUUCAAUUCGUCUCACAUUCAGACUAAGUGUUACAUUGGGUAUCAAGUAUCAACUGCCUAACACCACCAUUCAAAUCAUCUUAUAUAACUACACUCUAAAACAAAAUCAGGUUUUCUAAUUCCAGAUUCAAAUGUAACAAAUCUUAAGCAUGUUCAAUGACCUCUUUACAUAAAUAAUUUAAAAUUGAACAAACACAAAUUUCACUUUAAAUUCAUAACUAAACUUAGCCUUGCUAAAAUUAGGGCACAAAUUCAACACAACAAAACAUUAACCAUUGAGUAAAAUAAAUAAACAAAUAACGUGAAACGGUGUAGUAAAAGAGAAAAGAUCCGAACCGGCGUAGCUAUUGGAAACAUCAACGGUGCCUUUGAAAGUAGAACCGAGCAAAACACCAACAACACGCUUGCGAGUAUCCUUAGCGACUCUAUUGUAGUUAUCAACGAUGCUGAGUAACACUAGAGGAUGAACCACCACCUUCUCGAUCGAACGAGAUGAGAUUUGUUGCGUUUUUAUCACAUCCAUGGCGAAUUCGAAGCUUAGAUUUCACUCUUGUUUCGAAUGUUGCAAAGUGUUUUCUUUCGAUUCAAUUUUCCCUCUGCAACACCACUAACCAAACCAAGUCACCGCUGUAUUUUGCUUUAUUUUUUUCUUUUCUAUUCUUUUCGUGUUCGAUACGAAUACGAAAGCUGUACUGUACUUUGUUUUUUGUUUUUUGUUUUUUGUUUUUAGUGGCCCAUCCUAAUUGGGCCUGUAGCACAUUAUUUAAAGUGAUUUUUUAGGAAUUUCUUUUUCCACCCUUCAAAGUUCCCAAAAUACCUCUAUUUGGUUAUAUAUAUCCAAAUUCUGUCAAAAUCUAAAAUUCAAAUUAUAAUUGAUGCAGAGGUUUGUGAUGUUCAUCGUAUCAUAAUCUACUUCCAAAUUAAAACUAAGAAAGAAAAGUGAAAAAAAUCAAAAGAGAAGAAUAUUUCACGUUCUGUACUUAUAUUCCCGGAUUUUUUAAACCAAAGAUUAUAAAUGCACUCUAGUAGAAAAAUAUUAAAACACUUGACAAAAAAAAAAAUUAAAACAAAGAUUUCAAUGAACAAGCGAAGAUUUAUUUUAAAUUUCAACUUCGGGAUUUAACUUUUUGAUGCUCAUCGAGAAUCAAAUUUAAUUUUUUUUAUCAAUCAAUCACCUUAGGAAAUUUAUACAUGUUUGGUAGCUACGAAUAAUUAAGUUACUACAUCACUCUUCUGGCUUCUAAAAUUGAAAGAUCUUUUUCAGCAUUAUAAAGUACCAAGAAUGAAUAGGUUGAGAAACAAGAUGAAAAUGAAGUUAUCUUGGGUAAAGUGUUAAGGGUUAUUCUCACAUUAAUUGUGAAAGAAAAAUAAAAGGGUGUGAAUUUAAGUUUAAAAUGCCAACUAGAGAUUCUCCAAUAAGUGUAAUUGUUAAUGAAAGUGACACCAAACAAUUUGUUAACCUUUUUUUUUUUUUUUUUAAUUAGAUGCAUUGAGAUUUUACUCGUUACAUUGACCACUAUUUAUUCAAAUUCACUGUUUAAAUGACAAGACGAUUAAUUGAACUUUAACUGGUUCAUGUAUAAAUUAUGUAAGUAUGAUUUCCGUGAACUUAAUUCAGUUGGUAGGUUCGAACUCCGGACACUCCACUUUCCCACAAUUAAAUUGUGUGAGCUCUAGCUACUAGGCUACUUAACCAAAAAAUAAAUAAAUAAAUAAAUAAACUAUGUAACUAUUUCUCUAAUUUUAGGUGUCUCAUUUGGGUU
rnacentral:lncRNA from 1 species